GUUUUAUUAAUAUAUCAGUAUAUUUGAUUUCCAAUCAAAAAGGCCUUGUCAAAAGUCAAGGAUAAAAUA
rnacentral:tRNA from 1 species